AAUAGAUACCCUGGUAGUCCACGCCGUAAACGAUGAGUGCUAAGUGUUGGGGGGUUUCCGCCCCUCAGUGCUGCAGCUAACGCAUUAAGCACUCCGCCUGGGGAGUACGGUCGCAAGACUGAAACUCAAAGGAAUUGACGGGGGCCCGCACAAGCGGUGGAGCAUGUGGUUUAAUUCGAAGCAACGCGAAGAACCUUACCAGGUCUUGACAUCCUGGUGACCACUAUGGAGACAUAGUUUCCCCUUCGGGGGCAACGGUGACAGGUGGCGCAUGGUUGUCGUCAGCUCGUGUCGUGAGAUGUUGGGUUAAGUCCCGCAACGAGCGCAACCCUUAUUCUUAGUUGCCAUCAUUCAGUUGGGCACUCUAAGGAGACUGCCGGUGAUAAACCGGAGGAAGGUGGGGAUGACGUCAAAUCAUCAUGCCCCUUAUGACCUGGGCUACACACGUGCUACAAUGGACGGUACAAACGGUUGCCAACCCGCGAGGGGAGCUAAUCCGAUAAAACCGUUCUCAGUUCGGAUUGUAGGCUGCAACUCGCCUAC
rnacentral:rRNA from 1 species